rnacentral:rRNA from 1 species
UACGGAGGGGGCUAGCGUUGUUCGGAAUUACUGGGCGUAAAGCGCGCGUAGGCGGACCUGCAAGUCGGGUGUGAAAGCCCGAGGCUCAACCUCGGAACUGCCUUCGAUACUGCGGGUCUAGAGUCCGGGAGAGGAGAGUGGAAUUCCUAGUGUAGAGGUGAAAUGCGUAGAUAUUGGGAGGAACACCAGUGGCGAAGGCGGCUCACUGGACCGGAACUGACGCUGAGGCGCGAAAGCGUGGGGAGCAAACGGG